rnacentral:rRNA from 1 species
GGAUGCGGUCAUACCAGCACUAAAGCACCGCAUCCCAUCAGAACUCCGAGUAGUACUAGGAUGGGUGACCUCCUGGGAAGUCCUCGUGUUACAUCCC